rnacentral:lncRNA from 1 species
GGAUUCCUUGUCAAUGUCAGCAGCUCCUCUCCGCGUCUCUCCCGUUUGCUUCAAGGGUACAGACCUGGCUGUUUAAUAUUAAUAACAACGGAUUCAGCCUGGUCUCCUACUGUCCCUCCCAGCUCAGACAUCUGUGAGGGCACGCCAAGGGUUCAUUUAAAAAAUAAAACACUACAGGGUUUGGCACUAGAAAAGUUUCAGAGUUAAAGCCCAUUUUAAAAUAAAAGGGCUUUCUAUUCGCCCCCACCCCCCGCUGCCCCUAAGCUUCUCCGGGCUGCAGCGACAUAUCGUCUUGUCCUCAAUUGAAACUGAGUGUUGGAAACUACUCCUUUGUAAUGAGAACAUUAUUGGAGAAGUUGUUCUUGUGCGUUCCUUUUCUGGAACUCACUCAAGUCUGGGCUCUUACAAUACUCUUCAUCAGCUGAAAGGCUCCUUUCCUUUUAUCCAAUUAGUUACCUCUAAUCCAAAGCAGCACUUGGAGGAUCCAGUUCAUUUUAAAAGGCACCAAGUUACCAAACAGCUUCGCCACUGUCUGCUUUCAAUUUCUCAGCUGGCUGGGAGUUCAAGUGAGAUUGUCCUAACUUUGCAAGCCCGUGCAGCUUCAAGGCACUGAGCUAGGAGAGUCUGUGCCAAGGUGUGGGUCACGCCCCAGGAGAACACGCCCCAAGUGAAGCUGCAUAAUGUUCAGAAAUUGAGCAUGAAAAAUGUGUAGCACGUGGUGCUAUUUAAUAAUCAAUAGCAGAGUCAUUUGGACUUCAAUAUGGAAAUAUGAUGACAAGGAUAGCUCUUCUGCCAAGUCCUCGGACAGAUCACUAGAGCCGGGAUUUGGUGACGACCACUCCUGGCAACAUGAUACUGGACCAGCUGCAAUGACGAUCAGAAACAAAAGCACAGAUGAAGACAAGUGUCCAAGUUCUGGAGCCACGUGCUUCUUUGUUUCAUGAGUGCCACAGCAUGAACAAUCCUAUCAAAGCCAAGGUUCUGGCCUUCUCCCUACCUUAUCCUCCAUUAUGGAUUAAUCCCUUUUCUGGUGAGUAUGCUUUCAUAGUUUACUCCCUUUUCAACUCUUCAAGUUGCCAGUUGUCUAAGCUGACCUUAGAAAAUUCCUGCUUCCUGACUUGUACCUACUUUUCAGCUUUUUCUCAUUCUUCCACAAAAACCCUACUACUGCAAGCCUGAGUUAACUAGCUCCCCUUAAAUAAGAUUGCCUACUUUUCCCCCUUUGAUUUUCUUUUCUUUCCUGUCUUUAAAUUUUAUUUUAAGUUGAUGUUUCAGAUGAAGUCUCUCUUGCUAUGCAGUGCAUGCUGGUUUUGAAGUUAUGAUCUGCUUGCCUCAACAUUCCAAGUGAUGGGAUUAAGCACUGUGACACUAUCAUUGGCUUCUGGUUCCCUGUGUUAGGGCUAGCCCAAUCUCCUUUGGAUCCAUUUCAAGUUCCUAGUUCCUAUGAAGUCUGUGCACUCAUAGGCUCCAGUUCUCUGUUCUAUCUCUGAUCUCCAGGUAGACAUUGCCAAGAAGAUAGUACAUAGCUUUACACUGCCCAAUGGUGGUCAAAUUCUCAUAUAUGCCUAUUUGUAUUUAAAUUAGUUAAAUUUAAAUACAAAUGUGAAAUUCAGUUUCUCAGUCCUAUGGACACAACUGGCCAGAGGCCAUGCAAUGUGACAUAGUGAAGAUAAAAAGCAUUUCCUCCUUACAGAAAAUCUUACUGGCAUCUAUGUGGCUAUUCUUUGGUAUCUAAUCAUUGCUUCGGAUAUUUGACUGACUCUUCAAUCACCAAUUCUCAGCCCCCUAUUUCUUAAGCCUGAUCCUAAGCCACAUACCUCCUCUUCCAGAAUCCUUUGAAGCUGGUCUUAUCCUACAACCUAGAGUUGAUCAAAGUAAUCCCAGGGUAGGUUUAUUGGGAGGGCUUCUGGACAAAAGAA